AAAAACGCUUUGACGGAAACUAGUAGUUGGGAGUACCUGUCAGGGAAGGAUGAUGAUGCACUGGAAGUCAUCCCCAGUUAAGCCCAGCGAAUUUCAUUUCCAGAGCUGGUAUUACCCCGGUUGAUCGCCGUUAUCAAAUCGUCGAGUGUAUGGCAUUAGUCAUAAACUAGGGUGGUACCGCGAAAUAAACCUCGUCCCUUUU
rnacentral:ncRNA from 1 species